rnacentral:rRNA from 1 species
AGAGUUUGAUCAUGGCUCAGGAUGAACGCUAGCGGCAGGCUUAACACAUGCAAGUCGAGGGGUAUAGGUUUUCGGACCUAGAGACCGGCGCACGGGUGCGUAACGCGUAUGCAAUCUACCUUUUACAGAGGGAUAGCCCAGAGAAAUUUGGAUUAAUACCUCAUAGUAUUAUUGAAUGGCAUCAUUUAAUAAUUAAAGUCACAACGGUAAAAGAUGAGCAUGCGUCCCAUUAGCUUGUUGGUAAGGUAACGGCUUACCAAGGCAACGAUGGGUAGGGGUCCUGAGAGGGAGAUCCCCCACACUGGUACUGAGACACGGACCAGACUCCUACGGGAGGCAGCAGUGAGGAAUAUUGGUCAAUGGGCGCAAGCCUGAACCAGCCAUGCCGCGUGCAGGAUGAAGCAUCUAUGGUGUGUAAACUGCUUUUGUACGAGAAGAAACACUCCUUCGUGAAGGAGCUUGACGGUAUCGUAAGAAUAAGGACCGGCUAACUCCGUGCCAGCAGCCGCGGUAAUACGGAGGGUCCAAGCGUUAUCCGGAAUCAUUGGGUUUAAAGGGUCCGUAGGCGGUUUUGUAAGUCAGUGGUGAAAGCCCAUCGCUCAACGGUGGAACGGCCAUUGAUACUGCAAGACUUGAAUUAUUAGGAAGUAACUAGAAUAUGUAGUGUAGCGGUGAAAUGCUUAGAGAUUACAUGGAAUACCAAUUGCGAAGGCAGGUUACUACUAAUUGAUUGACGCUGAUGGACGAAAGCGUGGGGAGCGAACAGGAUUAGAUACCCUAGUAGUCC